rnacentral:lncRNA from 1 species
AAAAGAGUAACACCGACAGGUAAAAGAGCCAGAGAUGCCCCCACUCUCACUCUUGGGAGGCCCACAAGAACACCAAGCUACAUAACCUUAACACAAAUGCAGAGGACCGAGGUCAGAGCCAUGCAGGCUCCCUGACUGCUGCUUCCAUUUCUGUGAGCCCACUCUGAGCCCUGCUUAAUUGAUUCUGUGGACCGUGUUCUUCUGGCGUCCUAGACCCUUCUGGCCCCCACAAUUUCUUCUCCCACAAGGUCUCCCAUACCACCUUGUUUUAAUGGUAUUUCCUUGACGCCAAAGUCUGAAAAGUUCUGUUAGACGUGACUAAAAACUAUUAAAAUGUUGAAGUUACACAGAGUGGAAUAAAAUGAGAAAAUUUAAAAUAACAGUACAACUUCUAGUUAUUAAAUUGUUAAGUUUCACUUUGGAUUUUGUUCUAUUAGUGAUUCUAGUCUCACUUUUCUGUCUGCUCCUGCCUAAAGAAAAACAAUCAAUCGUGGUUAAUUCUAAUUUUAAGGGAGUAUGGCUAAGAAUAAAUGUGGUUCUUUAGCUGGACAUUUUUCUUCAUUAUUUAGAAACCAGGAAAUUAACCUCCUACAUAGAUCAAUCCACUAUUUUGUAGUAAUUACAAGCAAAAUUCAGGGCUCUGGGAUCCAAAGAGAAAAACCUAGUUGUUCUAAUAUUUAUCAGUAAUUGUAUAUUCUCAAAUUAGUAUUACAAUAUACUAAGUAACCCUCUCUUAGAUUAAAAUUUAAAAAGUAACUUUCAUAGAAAAUACUGUUUUUUGAAGAGUGAUCUGUUUUGAAUAUGACAGACUUUCUCUGAAUUUGAGUUAAUAAUUGUACACUGUAUACAUUGUACUGCUAUUUCAGAUCAUGACACAAAGUUUACAUAGCCAUAUACAUAACUGUAGAACAAAGCUGUUUCCUGUUAUUGAAAUCCAUGUUUAUUUGGGGAAGAAGAUUCAGUAGGUAUUUUCCAGUUUGUUCUUCUGAGUUACAUUUUGAGUUUCAAUGCUAAGAUUUAAAACUUCAAAUAAACCUACUUAAAAUGUGAAACAGGAUAAGCCUUUACCAUCGGAAAUCAUGAACAUAGAAUAGACUCUCAGUUAUCCAUGAUUUAUGAGAGUUGAGUGUGGCUAAGAGGCAGAAACAACACAGCUUUAGGUACAGGCAUGACUGGCCAGAGUGAGACUUUGUAUGCUUUUCUCAAUAUCAUGACAAAGGCAUUAUGUGUCCUUGUACAAGACUUCUUGGCACUAAUGUAAAAUUACAUUUGAGGAGAAACAUGGGAAAAUGAAAGAGACACUGUUUUAGAAUUUUGAAAAAGUGCUAUGUUUCUGCAUCUGGAUGAUUUCAAAUGUUCCUAUGCAGGUAGAUGCUAAGUGAUACUUGAAGUCUUUUCUCUCCUUAAAAUUCAUCUAAUGAUUAUUUAGAGUUUCAUAAUUAGUGUAUAUUGGUUAUGCUUUAAUUUUUAAUUUAAAAAUUAAAUUUUAAAAUUUAGUUUUGAAUUUUGAAUUAUUGAUGCAACAAUUUAAUUUGAACAUUUCUUUUCUAUGUGUACACUGUGUGAGCAUGUGGAAGUCAGAAAUGGACACUGGGUUUCUUCCUUGUUUUAUUUUAUAAUUUUAACAUUUUUUUUAAUUCAAUUAAGUAUCUUUCUGAACUAUACUGCCCUUAAAUGAUCCCCAAUUUCAGCUAUCUCUCUCCACACUCUCUUAUUUCAUUCCUCUCCCACUCCUUCCCCAAACUUUCCAGAGUCUACCCACAAAAUCUUUUCUAUUUCUCCUCCCUAGGGAGAUCCACGAACCCCUGCUAGAGUCCUCCUCUUUACCUGGCCUUUCUGGAUCUGUGCAUUGUAGCUUGAUUAUAAUCUAUUUAACAGCAAAUAUCUGUAUAUAAGUGACUACAUACCAUAUUUGUCUUUUUGGGUCCAGGUUACCUUAGGAUUAUUUUUCUAGUUCCAUGCAUUUGCCUGCAAAUUCCAUGAUGUCACUUUUAACAGCUGAGCAAUAAUCCAUUGUGUAAAUGUACCACAAUUUCUUUAUCUGUUCUUCUGUUGUAGGCUAUCUAGGUGAUUCCAAUUUCUGGUUAUUAUGAAUUAAGUUGCAAUGGACAUAGCUGAGCUUGAGCAAUUAUCCUCAUGGAAGUACAAUAAACAUGGGUUUAUGCAAAAGAGUGAUAUAGCUUGGUCUUGAAGUAGAUCAAUGCCCAAUUUUCUGAGGAACCACCAUAUUGAUUUCCAUAGUGUCUGUACAAAUUUUCAUUCCCACCAGCAAUGAAGGAGUGUUCUCCUUGCUGCACAUUCUCAUCACCAUGAGCUGUCAUGUGUCACUUUUUAAUCUUAGCCACUCUGAAAUGUAUAAGAUGACAUCUUAAAGUAGCUUCUAAUUGCAUUCCCUUGAUGGCUAGAGAUGUAUUGCAUGUCUUUAAGUGUUACUUAGCCAUUUGAGAUUCCUCUAUUGAGAGUUAUCUGUUUCAAUCUGUACACUGUGUUUUAAUUAUAUUUUUUAUAUCCAGUUUCUUGAAUGUGACCAUAGAAUGUGACCUGUAUGUUUUUAGUGUGAGCAUUUGGUAUUGGACAGCCAAUUGGUGUGCUCUUUUCUCUUGCUUUUUUUGUUUGUUUAUUUGUUUGUUUGUUUCCUGGCAUUUUAUCUUCAGGAACAAACACACCUUGCCUUUUAACAAUAUGUAAAUCUUCCCUAGAAUUUCAUACACUCUACUAUCAUUCAUUUUUAAUUUAUUUUUACUUUCUCGU